CUGGAAACUACUUGUCUCCAUUUCUCAUCACAAAACCAUUGGCUUUUCUUGGUUUCUGAGCUCACACUGAUGUCUCUGGUGAAACAGAGGGCACUCACACUUUGUUCUGCCUUCAGGAAGCUCCUGCAUCUCCAGAUGAAGGUAGCAUCCCUCCUCUACAGCUCCAUGCGGGAUCUCUGUCGGAAAGAACUGUUACUGGAGGAAUAUAAGUAUAUUGGGAUUUCUCACAGCAGCGCUUUUUGAAGGAUGUGUCUGCUCAAUAUACUUCUGUGGAAAACCUUGGC
rnacentral:lncRNA from 1 species